AACGAACGCUGGCGGCAGGCUUAACACAUGCAAGUCGAACGCCCCGCAAGGGGAGUGGCAGACGGGUGAGUAACGCGUGGGAAUCUACCCAGAUCUACGGAACAACAGUUGGGAACGACUGCUAAUACCGUAUACGCCCUACGGGGGAAAGAUUUAUCGGAUUUGGAUGAGCCCGCGUUGGAUUAGCUAGUUGGUGGGGUAAUGGCCUACCAAGGCGACGAUCCAUAGCUGGUCUGAGAGGAUGAUCAGCCACACUGGGACUGAGACACGGCCCAGACUCCUACGGGAGGCAGCAGUGGGGAAUAUUGGACAAUGGGCGCAAGCCUGAUCCAGCCAUGCCGCGUGAGUGAUGAAGGCCUUAGGGUUGUAAAGCUCUUUCACCGAUGAAGAUAAUGACGGUAGUCGGAGAAGAAGCCCCGGCUAACUUCGUGCCAGCCGCCGCUGUAAGAC
rnacentral:rRNA from 1 species